rfam:Ascaris suum AG00645, whole genome shotgun sequence.
GACUCCGUGGCGCAACGGUAGCGCAUCUGACUCCAGAUCUGAGGUGCGGCUUCAAAUCACGUCGGGGUCG